GCCUGGGUGGCUCAGUGGUUGAGCAUCUGCCUUCAGCUCAGGGCGUGAUCCUGAGGGGGAUCAAGUCCCACAUCAGGCU
rnacentral:tRNA from 1 species